AAAGGCUUAAUAUUUCAACUUUGAGUUCUUACUUACUGGGCUGACUUGGGUAUCAAAAUCUCAUCUAAGGAGAAAAAAAGCUAACUUCUAGGAGACCUUUUAGUUGAACCUUUGUUAAUGCAGUAUCAUUACAAUGACCUUUUGAGAGUGAUAUAAUGGGAGAAUAAUAUCUCUAUGGUUACAUGAAACAAGUAGUUUGGGACAUUCUGUGUUCCAAAACACCAGCUUCAUUUCUGGAAAAAUCUGAAAUUUGUCUCAUGGAUGAACGAAUAGAUUAUCAUCUCUUUGAAGAGAAACUAGACUGGGAUCCUUUGCCUUCCUGGUUUUGAUGUGAGAUCUUUCUCUAGAGGGGCAUUUUGAGUGCAGGAAACAGUCCAUUCUUGUAGAAGACUUUAAGUUUGUCAUGUAGAUAAGAUUUGAAGUACUGUAUUUCUGUGUUUGUUCUUGAAUUUCAUUGGUGUGAUAAGACACGAUGUUUCAGAAACCAUUACAGCCUGUCUGUUUUUUUUAGGAUGCCAGCCUGCUUCACUGACUGUGAAGCCACACUGAUGUAAUUGAAGGUAACAGUUCAGAAGAAGCAGUAAAUUAUUUCAGGUGAAUGACUGACGAAUUUGAAGCCUUUAGCUACAGCUUGUGAAUACAAACCAAGCUAAAGUCAAAAUGAUGUCAUUUGUACCCAAAGCUGUUAAGGAAGGGAGAGGAGAGGCCAUGUCUGAAAUUUCAUAACAUCUAUGUGAUUUAUUUGGAGCACCCAGCAGUCAAACCUUGUGUUACCAAACUCUUGAGCAGUAUAGCUCUGCAAAAACAAAUAGGAAGAUGUAUUAAGCGCUCCCAGCUGAAAGUUUGAAAACAGCAAAAACAGUGUGUAGCAAGGAGCACAGGAGAUACUCUUAUGCCAUUUUUAUGAAGAGCUAAUUAUUUACUGUUUAUCUGGAAGUUUAAACUAAAUGUAAGCUGCUAAUGUAGACUUAAAAACUGAAAGGAAAUUAAAUUUGAACACCUGAAUAAUGAGAUAA